rnacentral:lncRNA from 1 species
AUUUAAUCUUUUUGGCAGUAAUCCUUUAUCUGUUUUCUCACAAAGAUGAAAAAACAGAUGAAGACAUCCUUACGGAGGUCGAAACUGAAGGCUUUCUAGUAGAUUUGGAAGAGAUCAUGGGAAGAGUAAAAAGAGAAACUUCUUUUCUGAAACCCUCAUCUGUGCCUGCCUUGGAGGAACACUCUACAACGACACACAGUGAAGACAGCAAAGGCCCUACAAGCAAGCCCCAUUUUAGGAAGAGCACAUCCUCUGUUACCUCCAGUAUUUUGUUCCCUGAUACAGAGGGCAGUGGAUCAGGAAUGAGUGAGACAGUUUUUGAAGUUCCUAAGCCUAGUCAAUUCACAAUGACGGCAAUUUCGUCAGAGGCAGCUGAGGGUACAUCCAUGCAAAACAACAAUAAGGAGAAAAUAAAAGAUGCAAAAGGCCGAAAGUUGGAUGCCAGUCCUGUAGACAUACCGAAUAGCGAAGAAUCCAAUUUACCUCCAUCACCUAUUCAAAAGGAUGAUGGACCAUCUAGUAAGUUCUUGUGACAGCACUGCUGAUGCCAUCAGUUUCUUGACUUUUCAUUCAACUGACAUAAUGUAAAUCUGUCAAUUUACCAUUUUUUCCCUUCUACAGCUUGGCUGAUAAUCUUUGCAUUCUGUGUUGUUGUUGGAGCCAUAGUAUGCAUGCUUGCUGCAAUUGCUACAAGAGACAAGUAAGUUUGCUUAUUUUUUUAAUUAUGAUUAUUUUUUUCAUCGAGUGAAUCCAUCGCAUUCAUCAGCCAUUGGGGUCCAGCUUCAGUUUACUGAAUGUAACACUUUACCUAGGUGGUACGGACCGAGACAGAGCAGAAACAUCACAACUGAAGCGCACAACAAAGACUACAGUAAAACAGAAACACUGCCACUGUCAGAGAAAGAGCAGGAGGUAGUGGCACUGAAGAGUGUUGCGAAGCUGAAUGGUAAAACGGAUGACAUUACUGCUACCUGUCUGGAUGAGCAUGAGAAAGAGUAUUUAAUGUAAUGUUUUAAAUCCUGCAUACUGUGUAUUAACAGGUUUGAACUCUUCUGUACUUUUGCACUAGUGAUGUUUUUUUUCUGCUCAGAGUCGCU